rnacentral:lncRNA from 1 species
CCGGAGGCCGCGUGACGCCAGAACGCGGGGCGUGAGGAGUGCGCCUGCGCGAAGGGGCUGCGCGUGCGCAGCGAGUGUGCAGAAGGCCGGGAGUGUUCAGGGUCGUGAGGUGGAACUCUACCGCUGUCGCCACGGUGUCCUGGCGAGUGCUGCGCCGGCUCUGUCCGGCGGAAGUUGCCGGUCGGUGCGAACGAGCGUCCUUUGGUCACAACUGGCUCUGGUGUCAGCCGAGGCUGCUCCCUUGAUCCAUCCAGGAGAGACAAGGACCCACGUCUGAGUGCCGAAGGGCAGAGGCAUAGGGCUGCGCUUCGCGGACACGGAUACCUGAGGCCACCUGGAGAAUGGGUUGGAAGCAGCCAAGAGAACCCAAAGCAAAACGGAAUGAGUACAGCCAGCCCUGCUUGUGGUGAGCGUGGGGCAGGGAAUCUGUUACAGCCACUCAUCCACUCAUCAUGUCCAGCCUGGCCACAGGAGGGUGCAGAACCAGGAGAGGACCCAACACUGCCACAGAGAUUUGCACACAAGGGUUGUUAGAUGAUGUGUGCAUUCUAACACGUGACAUUGCUCAUCCCAAUGGUCAUAGCUAGGGCUGUACCUUGACCACCUACCAUCUCACACCAAAGGAUUAGAGUACCUAGGAAGCCCUUUAAAAACCCAAAGGACUAAGAAGUUCUUUAAAAACUCAGUAAGAAAGUUGGUUGUAAGAGCUGAACCAAGUUGAUCCAGACAAAAUACAAAUGAUCCGUGAACCUAGAAAAAAGAUGCUCACAUACUGAGAGAAAUGACCACAAUGGCGAACUAUCAUAUUUAGAAAUUUCCUGAUUUGCUAAAUGUAGUCAGGGCUGCAGGGAAACAGAGAAUGCCCCUUGCAUAGGCAGUUUGGCACCCUCUGAGGGAAUUGUAAGUGCCUUCUCCUUAGGCCAGCCAUCCUACUUUUGGGAGUUGGGUACCCAUAGUGCUUCAGUGCCAUUUAAGAAUAUUUGUUACAAUUGCUUACAGUCAGAACUGGAAGUUGCCCAGAUGCCCAGCACUGAGAGACGUGAUAACUUAAUAAAUGUGUGCUGGAAUAAGCCCACUGUGACAUGCUACAGGAGUGAGAAAAUGAAAGGACUGGGUGGAGAGAGAGCUCUGAGGUAAAGUGCUUGCCUUAUAACAGUGAUGGCCCAGAUUCAGUCAGAACUUAAAGCAGGCACAGUGACACACUGUGAUCUAGCAUGGAGGAGAUAAAGACAGGUGGGUCUCAGAGUUUGACAGCCAGCCUAGCCUACUGGAAGCCCCAGGCUAGAGAGCGCCCACAUCACAAACAACAGUAAAACAAGGAGGGAUGGCUGGGGGGGGGGUGUCACCUUGAAGUGACUGGCCUCCACAUGUGCACACAUACACAGGGACAAGGGAUCGUUUGUGUGAAAGAAAAGCAAGGUGCACAUACCACAUCUGAUGAUGUGCCACCUUUGGGUGUGGCACUGAGGGAGUUCUGUAAGCCUGUGCUGGCCAGCUUCAUGCCAACCUCUACACAAAACAGAGGCAACUGGCAAGAGGGAAUCUUUUGUUUUGCUUUCCCAGACAGGGUUUCUCUGUGUAGCCCUAGCUGUCUUGGAACUUGUCCUGUAGACCAGCUGGCCUUGAACUCAGAAAUCUGCCCACCUCUGUCCUGGCUCCCAAGUGCUGGGAUUAAAGUUAUGCACCACCACCAUGAGGCAGGAAAGAGAAUCUUAACUGAGAAAAAUGCCUCCUGUAGGCAAGUCUGUGGGUUAUUGUUUUGAUCAGUGAUUGGAUGGCAGCUUACUGUGGAUGAUAGAACCCCUGGGUCCUGGGUGGCAUAAAAAAGUAGGAACAGCAAGCUAUGAGGAGCAGGCCAUCAGCACUGAUCCUCCGUGAACUCUGCAUCAGCUCUUGCCUCAAAGUUUCUGCCAUGUGUGAGUUCUUGCCUUGACUUCCCUCAGCGAUGACUGUGAUCUGAAGCUAUAAGCCAGAAUAAACCGUUUCCCUCCAA